UGGGGAAUUUUGGACAAUGGGCGAAAGCCUGAUCCAGCAAUGCCGCGUGUGUGAAGAAGGCCUUCGGGUUGUAAAGCACUUUUGUCCGGAAAGAAAUCCUUGGCUCUAAUACAGUCGGGGGAUGACGGUACCGGAAGAAUAAGCACCGGCUAACUACGUGCCAGCAGCCGCGGUAAUACGUAGGGUGCAAGCGUUAACCGGAAUUACUGGGCGUAAAGCGUGCGCAGGCGGUUUGCUAAGACCGAUGUGAAAUCCCCGGGCUCAACCUGGGAACUGCAUUGGUGACUGGCAGGCUAGAGUAUGGCAGAGGGGGGUAGAAUUCCACGUGUAGCAGUGAAAUGCGUAGAGAUGUGGAGGAAUACCGAUGGCGAAGGCAGCCCCCUGGGCCAAUACUGACGCUCAUGCACGAAAGCGUGGGGAGCAAACAGGAUUAGAUACCCUGGUAGUCCACGCCCUAAACGAUGUCAACUAGUUGUUGGGGAUUCAUUUCCUUAGUAACGUAGCUAACGCGUGAAGUUGACCGCCUGGGGAGUACGGUCGCAAGAUUAAAACUCAAAGGAAUUGACGGGGUCAUAGCUGUUUCCU
rnacentral:rRNA from 1 species